GACGAACGCUGGCGGCGUGCUUAACACAUGCAAGUCGAACGGAAAGGCCCUGCUUUUGUGGGGUGCUCGAGUGGCGAACGGGUGAGUAACACGUGAGUAACCUGCCCUUGACUUUGGGAUAACUUCAGGAAACUGGGGCUAAUACCGGAUAGGAGCUCCUGCUGCAUGGUGGGGGUUGGAAAGUUUCGGCGGUUGGGGAUGGACUCGCGGCUUAUCAGCUUGUUGGUGGGGUAGUGGCUUACCAAGGCUUUGACGGGUAGCCGGCCUGAGAGGGUGACCGGCCACAUUGGGACUGAGAUACGGCCCAGACACAUACGGGAGGCAGCAGGGGGGAAUAUUGCACAAUGGGCGGAAGCCUGAUGCAGCAACGCCGCGUGCGGGAUGACGGCCUUCGGGUUGUAAACCGCUUUCGCCUGUGACGAAGCGUGAGUGACGGUAAUGGGUAAAGAAGCACCGGCUAACUACGUG
rnacentral:rRNA from 1 species